rnacentral:lncRNA from 1 species
GAGCCUAGCAAAGCCAAGGUCUGGCAGGAGGAAGAGACUGGCCUUUGUAAAAAAGUGAGGAGCUCAGCCCCCAAUGGUUUCCUUGUGCCUAGCAGCACUAGUAGCUGUGGUCAGUAACCCCCUUCCAACUGUGUUGGCCCCACAGUGAGCAGAGUUGAGCAGCCUGCAUGUGUUCAGUGCACCGGGGAUGUGGAGGUGUGUGCUGGUCAUGGCUCCUGACUUGCAGGCGUGAGCUCCAAAGCUAACCUGAGCAGAAGCAAGAAAGCAUCCCUGGGAAAAGUACCAAUGGACCCUCAGAGAGUGGCAGACCAGGACUGGGGGAGAUGGCCCAGAAGGUGUGCUGCUCUUCUGUACCUGCUUGGACCCUCCAUCAAGCUCACCCUCCAGACUGAUUUCUUCACUCCAUCUUCUCAUGACCACAAAGCCAGGCCAGCUAUGGCUUCCAAUGCAACCAAGUGCCCACAGACUUCUUGCUGCUCUAGUCCCAGUCCUAGGACACAGAAAGUGGUCAGGCAGCUAAGGCCAGGAAACCUGAGUACCUUACAAGCUCCAUCUGUGCUUGGGUAUGCAGGGGGGCUAAGACAGGGAGGGAUUGUGGCUGGGCAGUAACUUGAAAAGAUCAGAUAAGCC